rnacentral:rRNA from 1 species
AGUGAACGCUGGCGGUAUGCCUAACACAUGCAAGUCGAACGGCAGCACAGUAAGAGCUUGCUCUUACGGGUGGCGAGUGGCGGACGGGUGAGGAAUACAUCGGAAUCUACUUUUUCGUGGGGGAUAACGUAGGGAAACUUACGCUAAUACCGCAUACGUCCUACGGGUGAAAGCAGUGGAUCUUCGGACCUUGCGCGAUUGAAUUAGCCGAUGUCGGAUUAGCUAGUUGGCGGGGUAAAGGCCCACCAAGGCGACGAUCCGUAGCUGGUCUGAGAGGAUGAUCGGCCACACUGGAACUGAGACACGGUCCAGACUCCUACGGGAGGCAGCAGUGGGGAAUAUUGCACAAUGGGCGCAAGCCUGACCCAGCCAUACCGCGUGGGUGAAGAAGGCCUUCGGGUUGUAAAGCCCUUUUGUUGGGAAAGAAAAGCUGCAUGUGAAUACCCCGCUGUUCUGACGGUACCCAAAGAAUAAGCACCGGCUAACUUCGUG